CUCACUGGACUGGUAUUGACGCUGAUGUGCGAAAGCGUGGGGAGCAAACAGGAUUAGAUACCCUGGUAGUCCACGCCGUAAACGAUGAUAACUAGCUGUCAGGGCACAUGGUGUUUUGGUGGCGCAGCUAACGCAUUAAGUUAUCCGCCUGGGGAGUACGGUCGCAAGAUUAAAACUCAAAGGAAUUGACGGA
rnacentral:rRNA from 1 species